AGCACUUGUACCUUUUACAAGGUUAAAAUUUCUUAGCAACAUUUGAAGUUUUCUCUUGGGAUCAAUGGAAUAUUCACCUGCAUUUGGAGCUGCUGCUGUUAUUUAUCAUUGUCUAUUGUCAAGGCAACAGAAUAUCUACUGCAUCUGCACCCGCUGAUCUGCCUCACUAUGUGAUUUCAGCUUUUUCUCCACUCUCCAACCAGCUCUUUACCUUGAGAACAUCUUCAUAAUAGCAAGGAGACUGAAAAAUGAAUUUGCCAGGGUAUCCUGGAGCUGUGGCAGAGGACUGGAGGACUGAGCUCCCUAAAAUUUGCCAGUUUGUGCCCAUUGCCUCUUGUUCUGUUACUGGGCACCACCAAGGAGAGGCUGCCUCUAACCUCCGUACAGCCUCCCAUCAGGUAUUUAUACACUUUGGUCAAAGAUCCUUUCAGAGCCUCCUCCUUUUGCAUUAUCUGUAUCUUUCCAUCCUGGCUUAUCACCUUAGGCCACCACAUUCUUCUGGCCUGCCUUUGUUUCCUUUUAACUUUUAGCAUGGUGCCUGUUGACAAGACUACAGUAAUUUAUCUUGCUCCCAACAAAGUCCUGAUUAUUGCUUAACUGUCUAAGACAGACUUAUUUAUCUUUGAAGUGUCGAGAUACUGCAUUCAUUUUCUGGGAAGUAUAUAUCUGGCGUGGUUUCAGUUAGGAUGAGUGAUAAUAUAAUACAGCCAUUACCUAUGAGAACAUAAAACUCUGACAGCAACCUGAAACAACACAGCAAACCCACUAACUAAACACACAAAGGUAAAAUUCUCAAAAACAGAAAACUACUUAUAAAAACAUAAAAAAAAGACAGGCAAAAGCUUUUAGGAGGAUGUUUUGAAAAGUGAUGGGUAACAUGCAUUGUCGUUAUUUAAAAAGCAUUAACUACAUAGUGAUAUACAUCUCCCUCAGUGAGAAUUGUGAGCCUUUGUAGCAGCACUGCACAGCAGAAAACCUCAGAAAAAUAGGAGCCUUGGAGCUUGAGAAGCAGGCACCUGUCACUUCCUUUUAGAAAAGGUGCAGAACCUGUGGUAGUCUGGCAUCUCUGGUUCUCCCCACUAGAGGUCAUGGAAACAAUUGCACAUUAAGUAGAGUGUGUGCAAUCAAGUGAGCUACAUUUCCAUGACAAAGAAAUCCUCUAAUGCAACCUAGAUGUAACUGUUUUCUGAGAUUAAUAUUACUGUUAUGCAGCUUCCUGUAGCUACACAGCAGGUACUGUAUGUAUCUGGAUGCAAAAGUUCUUAGCAAUGCAUAGUUUUAGCACCUCCUAGUGAUCCAUAGCGUUGGAGGUGAAGGUAACUGAACUAAUUAGACAUCUAAGUAGAGGGGAACCCAAACCUGAAUCCAGGACAACCAGUGAAGCAGACAUUUCAGAAACUGUCUGUUGCUGAAACGAAAUAAGAUCCGUUGAUAUUAACGGAGGGAGCUAGGUAGUAACUCCCAACUAUAACAUUAAACUUCUCCUUCUUCCAGCCUGCAGCUCUAAUUAAACGUUCAGAUAGAAUCACUGAUCUGAUUGACUGCCACCAGUGAUGAACCAGAGAAUACAGAUUUGUGCUAAUUGCUCUGCACCCUUUUCCUCAGUAACUGGGCUGGAAAACUGCAAGUAAUCAUGAUGUGACUGGUUCCUGCAGUCAGCAUUUCCAAGUUCUCUGCGGUUCCCUUCAGCUUCAAAUUUCAUACAAGGAUGAAAAGGUAUUAUGGGAAGCCUCUGCCAGCAUAAACAAAUACUUCACCUUUGUUCAUUAUAGGGUAGUCAGAGCCACCCUUUUCAUUCACUUUUGAAAUGCUUAAGUGAAAUCCUGGCUUUAGUUAGAACUGCAGGUAGGUACGAUAGGAGGAGUGCUUUGUUCUCCCCGGAAAGCUGUUAAGAGAAGGAGCACUAGGUAUCGAACAAAGCAGCUCAUAGGCCUAGUCAGGGGCUGGAAAGGAACAGUUGCAGUGGAAGUUCUUAAAGCCAGAGUUCUCAGCACUGAUCUGUGCUAGGGGAUAUAUUGGAAGGAACCUGGGGAAGAUGAGCAAAAACUAAACUGUAAGGGAUAAAGCGUAGUCAAAAGGGAACAUUGCUUCCAAGUCACAACCAAAGGAUCCAGUUCAGCCAUGAGUGUCAUGCCUGACUAGGCGAUGGAUUAAGCAGACCUGUGUAAUAUAUCUAAACAAGGAUAGGCUGGAGCAAAACAAAAAAAACUACCACACCAAACACCACCAACAAAAAAAACCUUUUGCUGGGUUCUGCUGAGUUACCUUGCAGCUAGGUAAGGUCCCCAGUCAAGCACAACACAGCCUACAACAGCUGUGUUAAUGUAGCUGAGAGGAGGGGCCAAUGGCAGACUGCCACAGUGUGGAUAAGCUAGCUUUGCUACUUUAGCAAUUUAUGUAGAAUUAGUGCCUGAGGAUGUUGAACACCAAAGAUACUCCUGAUUUUACAGCUGGGAUUUCAGACACUGAGGGAUCUCUCUCAGUCCCAAGCUAAAUUCUACUUAAGCUGUGUGGGGGUUGCUAGAGCUUGAAACUAGUGCUGGAGAAGUCAGAGUUGCCGGUACCUUGAUUGCUGAUGACCAGAUUCACAAUAAAUGCAAAAAAAGGGGCAUGACCGGGUUAUGAGAUAGCAGCCAGCAUGCUACAUCAUCUGGACCUGGGUUGGAAUAGCUUGAGGCUUACUCUGUUUUGAUGGCUUAGGGGGGUGUCUUAAAGGGGGGGGGGGGGACGACGACUUGGGAAGUAGGUGGAUUCUACGAAGCAAAGCCUUCCCAGAACAUCAAUCACUGACUAUCUGAAAGACGUAAAAGAAACAUGUAAACUUAACAGCCCCCUGGAAAACAAUUACAUUCAGGUCUCAUUAGAGGACCCCCUCAUUUGUCGCAGAAAAUGCAGCUACUUCCAGAAUGGAAAUGAAGAGCUCCUUCAUAGCAACGUUCCUUAGCAGGUACUGAGAUUCAGGAAUAGCUAUUGAGAGAAUAAUCCUCAUCUAUUUCUAAAGUUAUACUGAAAAAAGUGAAAGUUAGCUCCGAAAAAAAAAAAAAAGCUCAAAACGGAGUUUAGCUGGCACAUCUCUUGAAAAAAGUAUUAGGAGUUCAUUGACCGUAAACAGUUGGAUCCCUUCAUUUUAUACUCAUGUAAGUACCAGAACUAUCAAGUGCAAGUUUGUGUAUCCUAGAAGAGAAGCCAAAUUGCACUUAGCCAUGUAUGACAAGAUGAUUUAAAUGGUUAACCUUUUAAACAGUGCUUGUUUUUAUAGAUAACACAUCUUUACACCGUCAAACUGUUUCUUUUUUUUUUGUCAGUUUUUCAGAUGUGUGAAAUGGUUUGAAUCAGAUGAUGAAAAUCAGAAAGCACAGCUCUGCCAUACUGUUACGAAGUUUAGUUUUCUAUUUCAUUACAUAAACUAAUUGAUUUAUCAAAGGACAUUUAGACUCUUAGAUCCUUGUCUGCUCUAUUUGAAUGUUGCUUGAACCAGAUAAGCCUAAAAAUAUGAAGCAAGAACAUAAAUAGGAAGAUGGAAGGUUGUGUUUUUACCCUUGGAGAAUGCAUGACUAGGUGAUUAAAAAGGAAAAGGACUAAAACCAGAGGUUUAUAACCUGAACUGGAACAGCAAGAAAUGUCAGCUCCACAGCAGCAAUCACACAGUACAUUACUAUAUAAUUCCAGAGUUAGAAAUAGAAAACUAAAGAAUGUUACACUGUUAAAACGUAUUUGAAAAAUUCAUGAAACUUCUUUAGAACUAUCCAGUCUCUCUAAUGUACUUUAGGGCAGUUUUGUUCCCAAUUCUGUCUCUGCCAGUGCUUCAAUUGUAAAGUAAAAGGAAUGCUAGCUGUCUGACUGGGUUAACCUAGACAUGCUGUACAGCAUAGGUUCAGAGUUCUGCUGUUUACAUUGCAUUUCUGUCUUGCCUCAGCCUGCAGCACACAUGCUGUCUUCAAUGAGACUAGGACAGCUGUGUGGUGCUCUCCAGCUCUCAGGAGCCCAGGAGUCACAGUCACAUCAAGUAAAACAAACUAAGGAUGUGUACCCCCCUGGCUAAACUAAAUUUUGACCUUACACAAAGUAAAUGUUUGUAGAUUUGACUUUCACUUUAUUACUAUACCUAUUUUAAAUCUAGAACUGGUAGUUUUGAUGCAAAAG